UCGGCACGACAUCGAUGGCGACACCAGCUUGCUGGUGUGUGGAGGCAGUCUGAUUCAUUUCAGCCCGGCGCAAGCCGCGAACAGGUCAGAGACCUGGGGAGCCUCGCAAUAACUCAACAUUUCGCCGCCCCGAUGCACAGAUGUCUGCCG
ncrna:Erwinia pyrifoliae DSM 12163 EFASI RNA